rnacentral:rRNA from 1 species
GAUGAACGCUAGCGGCAGGCCUAACACAUGCAAGUCGAGGGAGAGGUUACCUUCGGGUAACCAAAACCGGCGCACGGGUGCGUAACGCGUAUACAAUCUGCCUUUCACAUAGGGAUAGCCCGAAGAAAUUUGGAUUAAUACCUAAUGGUAUAUAAGAGCGGCAUCGUUUUUAUAUUAAAGCUACGGUGGUUAAAGAUGAGUAUGCGUUCUAUUAGCUAGUUGGAGAGGUAACGGCUCCCCAAGGCGACGAUAGAUAGGGGUUCUGAGAGGGAUGUCCCCCACACUGGUACUGAGAUACGGACCAGACUACUACGGGAGGAAGCAGUGAGGAAUAUUGGACAAUGGUCGGAAGAAUGAUGCAGCCAUGCCGCGUGCAGGAUGAAGGUCCUAUGGAUUGUAAACUGCUUUUGUAAGGGAAGAAUAAGGAGUACGUGUACUUUGAUGACGGUACCUUACGAAUAAGCAUCGGCUAACUCCGUG